CACACCACUGCCAAAGCCCCCUUCAAUAUCAGCUUGCGUGUAUAAGACUAAACCUCCCCCGCCCCCGGUUGUAUUGUUCAGCAUUAUUCUACCCCGACAAUGGGAAAUCACACUUUGAAAGUCAUUUUCAAAAAGGGGGAAGCCAAUCAAAAAUAAUGGCACUUAUUGUUCCUCUUUGGCUCAGUGGCCUGCCCCUCCCUUGGCUUCAUUCACAUCCAUUAUACAGACAAAUUAAAUAAAAGCGAGUAUGGGGUCGGAGGAGGGCUGAGAGCUGCGUUGACCAUCGCCAGAGGCGUUCAGGCUCAGGAGGAGCUCUGCGGAGCCAGAGAAGAGGGAAGCACUGAGAGAUGCUGAUGCGUAACACGGCAUAGUCACGUAUCGAAGAUGGACACGCUCAGCUGCGCCAAAAAGAUGGGAUUUCUGUCUGGUGUUUCUCUGCUGUCCUGCAAAAGCUCCAAGUUAUGCUAACUGGAUGACCGGAGGCCUGCUGAGAGGAGGGAAGGAAGUUGCUAAGCCUGCCGCUGAAAUUGUGAUGGUGACAGCUUCUCAGACAUGUUUGAUGCCGUCAGAUCAGCAAGACCCCCCCCAUCAUCCUCUCAAACCAUAAAGCCAUCACAGAUGAAGCGGAGAGACAGGCGUACAGAGCUUGGCCUUGGUUGAAGCCUAUGUUGUAGACUUGUUGACAAUAAACGUUGGCAUUGUU